rnacentral:rRNA from 1 species
UACAGAGGUCUCAAGCGUUGUUCGGAUUCAUUGGGCGUAAAGGGUGUGUAGGUGGCGCCGUAAGUCGGGUGUGAAAUUUCGGAGCUUAACUCCGAAACUGCAUUCGAUACUGCGGUGCUUGAGGACUGGAGAGGAGACUGGAAUUCAUGGUGUAGCAGUGAAAUGCGUAGAGAUCGUGAGGAAGACCAGUGGCGAAGGCGGAUCUCUGGACAGUUCCUGACGCUGAGGCGCGAAGGCCAGGGGAGCAAACGGG